CCUACGGGGGGCAGCAGUGGGGAAUAUUGCACAAUGGGGGAAACCCUGAUGCAGCGACGCCGCGUGAGUGAAGAAGUAUCUCGGUACGUAAAGCUCUAUCAGCAGGGAAGAAAAUGACGGUACCUGACUAAGAAGCCCCGGCUAACUACGUGCCAGCAGCCGCGGUAAUACGUAGGGGGCAAGCGUUAUCCGGAUUUACUGGGUGUAAAGGGAGCGUAGACGGCAGCACAAGUCUGGAGUGAAAUCCCGGGGCUUAACCCCGGAACUGCUUUGGAAACUGUGCGGCUGGAGUGCAGGAGGGGUAAGCGGAAUUCCUAGUGUAGCGGUGAAAUGCGUAGAUAUUAGGAGGAACACCGGUGGCGAAGGCGGCUUACUGGACUGUAACUGACGUUGAGGCUCGAAAGCGUGGGGAGCAAACAGGAUUAGAUACCCUUGUAGUC
rnacentral:rRNA from 1 species